rnacentral:tRNA from 1 species
UCCCUGGUGGCUCAGAUGGUAAAGCAUCUGCCCGCGAUGCGGGAGACCCGGGUUCUAUCCCUGGAUAGGGAG